rnacentral:rRNA from 1 species
CGGUCCUAAGGUAGCGAAAUUCCUUGUCGGGUAAGUUCCGACCUGCACGAAUGGCGUAACGAUCUCCACACUGUCUCGGCCAGAGACUCGGUGAAAUUGAAGUCGCGGUGAAAAUGCCGUGUACCCGCAGAAAGACGGAAAGACCCUGUGCACCUUUACUAUAGCUUGACAUUGGGAUUUGAGCCUGCAUGUGUAGCAUAGGUGGGAGGCUGUGAACUCUGUACGCCAGUAUGGAGGGAGCCAUCGUUGAAAUACCACCCUUGUUUGUUCAGGUCCCUAACUCCUUGCCGUGAUCCGGUAGGAGGACAGUGUCUGGUGGGUAGUUUGACUGGGGCGGUCGCCUCCCAAAAUGUAACGGAGGCAUGCAAAGGUUCCCUCAGGCUGAUUGGAAACCAGCCGUCGAGUGCAAACGCAAAAGGGAGCUUGACUGCAAGAGAGACAUCUCGAGCAGGUACGAAAGUAGGUGUUAGUGAUCCGGUGAUCCCGAAUGGAAGGGUCAUCGCUCAUUGGAUAAAAGGUACGCCGGGGAUAACAGGCUGAUCGCAUCCAAGAGUUCACAUCGACGAUGCGGUUUGGCACCUCGAUGUCGGCUCAUCACAUCCUGGGGCUGAAGCAGGUCCCAAGGGUACGGCUGUUCGCCGUUUAAAGUGGUACGCGAGCUGGGUUUAAAACGUCGUGAGACAGUUUGGUCCCUAUCUUCUGUGGGCGUAGGAGAAUUGAAAGGGCCUGUCCCUAGUACGAGAGGACCGGGAUGGACACACCACUGGUGGACCUGUUGUCGUGCCAACGGCACAGCAGGGUAGCUAUGUGUGGAAGGGAUAACCGCUGAAAGCAUCUAAGCGGGAAGCCUGCCUUAAGAUAAGUUCUCCCUGACGCAAGUCCUGAAGGGCCGAGGUAGACGACCUCGUUGAUAGGCUGGAGGUGGAAGCCCUGUGAGGGGUGGAGCUGACCAGUACUAAUAGC